AGGAAUGAUGGGAAUCUAAACCCUUCCCAGAGUAUCAAUUGGAGGGCAAGUCUGGUGCCAGCAGCCGCGGUAAUUCCAGCUCCAAUAGCGUAUAUUAAAGUUGUUGCAGUUAAGAAGCUCGUAGUUGAAUUUCUGCCUUAUCAUUAAUUUCGCUUCCGAACGUAAUUUUAUUGAUUUGGCAUCUUCUGGAUUAUAUAUUAUUUUUAAUAUAUUUUUCCAGUAUUUUACUUUGAGAAAACUAGAGUGUUUCAAACAGGCUUUUGCCUUGAAUACUACAGCAUGGAAUAAUGAAGUAGGACUAUUGGUUCUAUUUUGUUGGUUAUCGAACCAUAGUAAUGGUUAAUAGGAGCAGUUGGGGGCAUUCGUAUUUAACUGUCAGAGGUGAAAUUCUUAGAUUUGUUAAAGACGAACUACUGCGAAAGCAUUUGCCAAGGAUGUUUUCAUUAAUCAAGAACGAAAGUUAGGGGAUCGAAGACGAUCAGAUACCGUCGUAGUCCUAACCAUAAACUAUGCCGACUAGAGAUUGGAGGUCGUCAGUUUAAACGACUCCUUCAGCACCUUGAGAGAA
rnacentral:rRNA from 1 species